rnacentral:rRNA from 2 species
UCGAGCGCUCUCUUCGGAGGGAGCGGCGGACGGGUGAGUAACGCGUGGGAACGUGCCCUUCUCUAUGGAAUAGCCACUGGAAACGGUGAGUAAUACCAUAUACGCCCUUCGGGGGAAAGAUUUAUCGGAGAAGGAUCGGCCCGCGUUAGAUUAGGUAGUUGGUGGGGUAAUGGCCUACCAAGCCUACGAUCUAUAGCUGGUUUUAGAGGAUGAUCAGCCACACUGGGACUGAGACACGGCCCAGACUCCUACGGGAGGCAGCAGUGGGGAAUCUUAGACAAUGGGCGCAAGCCUGAUCUAGCCAUGCCGCGUGAGUGAUGAAGGCCUUAGGGUCGUAAAGCUCUUUCGCCAGAGAUGAUAAUGACAGUAUCUGGUAAAGAAACCCCGGCUAACUCCGUGCCAGCAGCCGCGGUAAU